GGAAAGGUUAAUCUUGGUCACGUGCAGAGAUGAAGGCAGAAGUGCUUCCCUGUGAGUGGGUGUUGUUGGUGACUACAGAGGAGAAGGGGAUCAAGUCUACAGUAGGAACAAAGAGGAGAAAAACAAGAACAUUUGUGGAAGAACUUAUGUAUAGACAUUUCCGGAGAUGGACAAGAGUCACACAAUCAACAGAAUAUUAGACCUCACUCUGGAGGUUAUACAACUACUGACCAGAGAGGCGUGUGCGAUAGUAAAGAAGACAUCUGGUGAGCAGGACACUUUGAAGACCUCUUCCCAUUUGUCAGAAGAAUGGAGACGGAUCCAGAGCCCCAUCACUAUGUCUUCACUGGACAUCCUGGGACCUGAACAAAUUGAGAAGAUGGUGACUUCUACAAAGAA